GGAUAGGUGAUCAUUUGACCCAGGUUUCAUAUGAAUCCUUCAAAGGGAUUAGGAGAUACAGAGUGGACACAAAAUGGAAGGCUCAAACUUUUGACCGUGAGUUGUGUCCUUGACCUUGAGUCAGCAUGGCUGAUUCAUAAGUUCUGCACAUUCCUUGAUGAGGUGAUCAUUUCUUCCAAAUUUGAUGAAAAUCCUUCAAGGGGUUUAGGAGAUACAGAGCCGACACAAAAGUGUUACGGAAGGAUGGUCUAAGACCAUUCCUAUAACCCCCUAUGCAGUCAGUGAACACACACAUAAGUGUUAAUGAUCAUUAAUUUUGUUAAACUUUCGACCAAAUCCAUUUUCUGAUCAGAAUCUGAUGAAAAUUACAGGUCCUGAAAAUCCCCAUGGUUGUGGGUGGUGCAGACAGAAUGUGAGCCAGGAAGUACAUCUGUAAAAGUCCAGACAUUCCGUGUGUACAAGAGAUCUAUGUGAGGAUGAUAGCAAAGAUAAUACAACCAUUCAGCAAAUCAUAUCAAUCCAACUGAAGGACAAAGUAUCCAUUGAUUUAGUUGCAUCUUUGCUAAGAAGUUAACUUGGAUCUGCUUCACAGGGAGUCAUUGAUGACCAGCUAAGUAGUAGGAUACAGUUUCCUGAUCAGAUGAAAUCGCUUUAUCUGGCUGGAAUUUAAAGAGCUGAGACUACCAUCAGGAAAAUCUACCAUGUAAUAACACACUAACCCAGAACAUUGCUACUGAGUGUACCACACAGUAAUGCUUACUACGAAAUUGCUACGGAGUCUACCACACAGUAAUACUGACUAGGAAAUUGCUAUUGAGUCUACCACACAGUAAUACAAACCAAGCGCAUUGUUACUAUGUCUUCUAUACAGUAACACUAAUUCAGAACAUUGCUACUGAGUCUGCCACACAGUAAUGUGGACAAGGACAUUGCUAUUAUGGGUUUCCAUGCAGGAAAAACACACAGUAACAUUGACUUAGGAUGUUGCUACCGAGUAUUCCACACUGUAAUAUUGACCCCAAAGUGUAGCUUUUCUAUGGAAAAUUCAGACAGAUAACUGAAGUUACCUGUCAAUAGGUGCAAUAAAAUCUUUAUCCGUUCAUGUUAACACUCCUGAUACUGAAGGCUGGACUCUGCUGAACACCAGAAAAAAAGCGGAGAUAAACAUGCAACUUACUGUGUGUGACACAGUGUAGUGCAAAAUAUUUUUAAAUGUGACUGUGAUAUAUAGACAUUAAAAUUAUUUUAAGUAACAUUCAAGUAAUGGUCAAAGGUGGUAGUGAAAACUAACUGAAUGUGACAUCAAAGUUUAGAUGACUGAGAAAGAAAGACAGUUAUACCUACUGGUUAAAAAUCUAUAAUUUUAUAUAUUAAAAUAAUGUUUAAAAAUGACAGUAGAUACAGUAAAAUGUGAAUAUGUGUUUUGAUUGAUAAUGUCAAAUAAUAAAGUGUAACUGAUUG